AAUUUUACACUAGAUAAGAGUUCUUUUUUCUUCUUCUACUUUUCCAGCUUCUUAGCAGUCUGAGAUCUCUCUUGGGGUCCCUUUUGCCUCUAAAAUUGGAGAAGUAUAAUUUACUGAGUUUCUCCUGGUAAACAUUUCAAAACCAGCCAAAGCCCUAUAUCUGAAGAGAGGUUUUCUUCUCCAAAAGAUGCUGUGAACUCCUCUGAUUCUUGUACCUCCUAUUGUUAGUGAACUUUAAUGGCAUUGGAUGCUAAACUGGAACUUAAGCUAGGUUGGGAGGGGCUGAAGCCUGUACUCACCCUACUCUGCAGUUCAUACUCUACUUUCAAUAAAUAUUUUGGAUAAUGGUAGAACUUCAGUUCUUUGAAGAUGUUGAUUGUCCUGCUCAGAGUCAAAGCCCUUGAUUGCUGUUCUUAACUAUGUGUCUCCCCUAGUCACUUUCUCUUUCUGGGCCCUUCUAUAAAAUGAUGACUCUGUUAGAUGGCCUUCAAUUCAAAAAACAUAUGCAAGAGCACCGGUGAUAGGACUCCUAACACAAAGGCAAAAAUGAAAUGAUCUUAUAAAUAGCAGAGGAGAAACAAUGUACCCAAAUGUAUAAGAAUAACGAACUGGAGGAAUUCCAUGUGAACUGGAACAACCUCCAGGAAGUGAUGCAGAGCGAGAGGAGCAGAACCAGGAGAACAUUGUACACAGAGACUGAUACACUGUGGCACAAUUGAAUGUAAUAGACUUCUCCAUUAGUGACAAUGCAGUUAUCCUGAACAACUCUGAGGGAUCUGUGAGAAAGAACACUAUCUACAUUCAGAGGAAAAACUAUGGGAGUAAAAACACCAAAGAAAAACAACUGCUUGAAUACAUGGGUCAAGGGUAAUAUGAUUGGGGAUGUAGACUCUUAAUGAAGUGCAAACACCAACAACAUGGAAAUGGGUUCUGAUCAAGGACACAUGUAAAACCCAGUAGAAUUGCAUGUAGGCUAUGGGAAGGACGGGGGGAGGGGAGGGAGGAAUAGAAACUUAUUUUUGUAACCAAGGAAUAAUGUUUGAAAUUGACCAA
rnacentral:lncRNA from 1 species